GUAUCGGAUUACUGGGCGUAAGCGCACGCAGGCGGUCUGUCAGUCGGAUGUGAAUCCCCGGGCUCAACCUGGGAACUGCAUUCGAAACUGGCAGGCUAGAGUCUUGUAGAGGGGGGUAGAAUUCCAGGUGUAGCGGUGAAAUGCGUAGAGAUCUGGAGGAAUACCGGUGGCGAAGGCGGCCCCCUGGACAAGACUGACGCUCAGGUGCGAAAGCGUGGGGAGCCAACAGGAUUAGAUACCCUGGUAGUCCACGCCGUAAACGAUGUCGACUUGGAGGUUGUGCCCUUGAGGCGUGGCUUCCGGAGCUAACGCGUUAAGUCGACCGCCUGGGGAGUACGGCCGCAAGGUUAAAACUCAAAUGAAUUGACGGGGGCCCGCACAAGCGGUGGAGCAUGUGGUUUAAUUCGAUGCAACGCGAAGAACCUUACCUACUCUUGACAUCCAGAGAACUUUCCAGAGAUGGAUUGGUGCCUUCGGGAACUCUGAGACAGGUGCUGCAUGGCUGUCGUCAGCUCGUGUUGUGAAAUGUUGGGUUAAGUCCCGCAACGAGCGCAACCCUUAUCCUUUGUUGCCAGCGGUCCGGCCGGGAACUCAAAGGAGACUGCCAGUGAUAAACUGGAGGAAGGUGGGGAUGACGUCAAGUCAUCAUGGCCCUUACGAGUAGGGCUACACACGUGCUACAAUGGCGCAUACAAAGAGAAGCGACCUCGCGAGAGCAAGCGGACCUCAUAAAGUGCGUCGUAGUCCGGAUUGGAGUCUGCAACUCGACUCCAUGAACUCGGAAUCGCUCUUAUCGCAGAUCACAAUGCUACUGUGAAUACGUUCCCGGGUCUUGUACACACCGGCGCCGUAUUCACGAGAACUCUCGCCCAUCUCCGAG
rnacentral:rRNA from 1 species